UCCAGUAAAUCCCCUAUAACAUCUCCAGUUGAUACAGAAGAGAAAUCGCUUGCAAAGGAUCCACGCAUACGACGGAACAGUGAAAAGAUAGCACACGAUGGAAUCCCUGAGUUUCCCAACGACCCUCACAAAGACCAAGAGAUACUGGAGAGCAUAGAGCCGGCAUACUACAGCGAUGGAAGCUUUGAUGCUACUCAACAUGAGCUUGAGAAACUCCCGGAUAUUCUUGACCUUCAUGAGAUCCACGCUGAUCGUAACCGACUGCGGCGGCAGAUACAGGUGGUGAGUA